UUCGGCUACCACUUACAGAUGGACCCGCGGCGCAUUAGCUAGUUGGUGAGGUAAUGGCUCACCAAGGCAACGAUGCGUAGCCGACCUGAGAGGGUGAUCGGCCACACUGGGACUGAAACACGGCCCAUACUCCUACGGGAGGCAGCAGUAGGGAAUCUUCCGCAAUGGACGAAAGUCUGACGGAGCAACGCCGCGUGAGUGAUGAAGGUUUUCGGAUCGUAAAGCUCUGUUGUUAGGGAAGAACAAGUACCGUUCGAAUAGGGCGGUACCUUGACGGUACCUAAACCAGAAAGCCACGGGCUAACUACGUGCCCAGCAGCCGCGGUAAUACGUAGGUGGCAAGCGUUGUCCGGAAUUAUUGGGCGUAAAGGGGCUCGCAGGCGGUUUCUUAAGUCUGAUGUGAAAGCCCCCGGCUCAACCGGGGGAGGGUCAUUGGAAACUGGGGAACUUGAGUGCAGAAGAGGAGAGUGGAAUUCCACGUGUAGCGGUGAAAUGCGUAGAGAUGUGGAGGAACACCAGUGGCGAAGGCGACUCUCUGGUCUGUAACUGACGCUGAGGAGCGAAAGCGUGGGGAGCGAACCAGGAUUAGAUACCCUGGUAGUCCACGCCGUAAACGAUGAGUGCUAAGUGUUAGGGGGUUUCCGCCCCUUAGUGCUGCAGCUAACGCAUUAAGCACUCCGCCUGGGGAGUACGGUCGCAAGACUGAAACUCAAAGGAAUUGACGGGGGCCCGCACAAGCGGUGGAGCAUGUGGUUUAAUUCGAAGCAACGCGAAGAACCUUACCAGGUCUUGACAUCCUCUGACAAUCCUAGAGAUAGGACGUCCCCUUCGGGGGCAGAGUGACAGGUGGUGCAUGGUUGUCGUCAGCUCGUGUCGUGAGAUGUUGGGUUAAGUCCCGCAACGAGCGCAACCCUUGAUCUUAGUUGCCAGCAUUCAGUUGGGCACUCUAAGGUGACUGCCGGUGACAAACCGGAGGAAGGUGGGGAUGACGUCAAAUCAUCAUGCCCCUUAUGACCUGGGCUACACACGUGCUACAAUGGACAGAACAAAGGGCAGCGAAACCGCGAGGUUAAGCCAAUCCCACAAAUCUGUUCUCAGUUCGGAUCGCAG
rnacentral:rRNA from 1 species